GAUGAGCUCGCGUUCUAUCAGCUAGUUGGUGAGGUAAAAGCUCACCAAGGCUACGACGGAUAGCUGGUCUGAGAGGACGAUCAGCCACACUGGGACUGAGACACGGCCCAGACUCCUACGGGAGGCUGCAGCAGGGAAUAUUGCGCAAUGAGCGAAAGCUUGACGCAGCGACACCGCGUGUGGGAUGACGGAUCUAGGUUUGUAAACCACUUUCAGGAGGGAAGAAAAUGACGGUACCUCCACAAGAAGCCCCGGCCAACUACGUGCCAGCAGCCGCGGUAAUACGUAGGGGGCGAGCGUUGUCCGGAUUUAUUGGGCGUAAAGAGCUCGUAGGCGGUUCAACAAGUCGGUCGUGAAAGUUCAGGGCUCAACCCUGAAAUGUCGAUCGAUACUGUUGUGACUAGGAUACGGUAGAGGUGAGUGGAAUUCCGAGUGUAGCGGUGAAAUGCGUAGAUAUUCGGAGGAACACCAAUUGCGAAGGCAGCUCACUGGGCCGCUAUCGACGCUGAGGAGCGAAAGCUAGGGGAGCAAAGAGGAUUAGAUACCCUCGUAGUCCAUGCCGUAAACGAUGUGUGUUAGACGUUGGAAAUUUAUUUUCAGUGUCGCAGCGAAAGCAAUAAACACACCGCCUGGGGAGUACGACCGCAAGGUUAAAACUCAAAUGAAUUGACGGGGACCCGCACAAGUAGUGGAGCAUGUGGUUUAAUUCGAAGAUACGCGCAGAACCUUACCAACACUUGACAUGUUCGUCGCGACUUUAAGAGAUUAAAGUUUUCGGUUCGGCCGGACGAAACACAGGUGCUGCAUGGCUGUCGUCAGCUCGUGUCGUGAGAUGUUGGGUUAAGUCCCGCAACGAGCGCAACCCUCACUUUUAGUUGCCAUCAUUUAGUUGGGCACUCUGAAAGAACUGCCAGUGAUAAGCUGGAGGAAGGUGGGGAUGACGUCAAGUCCUCAUGGCCCUUACGUGUUGGGCUACACACGUGCUACAAUGGCAUUUACAAUAGGAAGCAAGAUGGCGACGUCAAGCAAAUCCUAAAAAAAUGCCUCAGUUCGGAUUGUACUCUGCAACUCGAGUACAUGAAGCUGGAAUUACUAGUAAUCGCGGAUCAGCGCGCCGCGGUGAAUACGUUCCCGGGUCUUGUACACACCGCCCGUCACACCAUGGGAGUUGGUUCUACCUUAAGGCAAGGUUUCAAACCCUUGACCACGGUAUAGUCAGCGACUGGGGUGAAGUCAUAACAAGGUAGCCGUA
rnacentral:rRNA from 1 species